rnacentral:rRNA from 1 species
GACGAACGCUGGCGGCGUGCUUGACACAUGCAAGUCGAACGGAAAGGCCCUGCUUUUGUGGGGUGCUCGUGUGGCGAACGGGUGAGUAACACGUGAGUAACCUGCCCUUGACUUUGGGAUAACUUCAGGAAACUGGGGCUAAUACCGGAUAGGAGCUCCUGCUGCAUGGUGGGGGUUGGAAAGUUUCGGCGGUUGGGGAUGGACUCGCGGCUUAUCAGCUUGUUGGUGGGGUAGUGGCUUACCAAGGCUUUGACGGGUAGCCGGCCUGAGAGGGUGACCGGCGUCAAUGGGACUGAGGGACGGACCAGUCGCCAACGGGAGGCAGCAGUGGGGAAUAUUGCACAAUGGGCGGAAGCGUGAGGCGACAACGCCGCGUUCGGGAUGACGGCUUUCGGGUUGUAAACCGCUUUCGCCUGUGACGAAGCGGUAGUGACGGUAAUUGGUAAAGAAGCACCGGCUAACUACGUG